AGAGUUUGAUCAUGGCUCAGGAUGAACGCUGGCGGCGUGCUUAACACAUGCAAGUCGAACGGAAAGGCCCAAGCUUGCUUGGGUACUCGAGUGGCGAACGGGUGAGUAACACGUGGGUGAUCUGCCCUGCACUUCGGGAUAAGCCUGGGAAACUGGGUCUAAUACCGGAUAGGACGAUGGUUUGGAUGCCAUUGUGGAAAGUUUUUUCGGUGUGGGAUGAGCUCGCGGCCUAUCAGCUUGUUGGUGGGGUAAUGGCCUACCAAGGCGUCGACGGGUAGCCGGCCUGAGAGGGUGUACGGCCACAUUGGGACUGAGAUACGGCCCAGACUCCUACAGGAGGCAGCAGUGGGGAAUAUUGCACAAUGGGCGCAAGCCUGAUGCAGCGACGCCGCGUGGGGGAUGACGGCCUUCGGGUUGUAAACUCCGUUCGCUAGGGACGAAGCGUUUUUGUGACGGUACCUGGAGAAGAAGCACCGGCUAACUACGUGCCAGCAGCCGCGGUAAUACGUAGGGUGCGAGCGUUGUCCGGAAUUACUGGGCGUAAAGAGCUCGUAGGUGGUUUGUCGCGUCGUUUGUGUAAGCCCGCAGCUUAACUGCGGGACUGCAGGCGAUACGGGCAUAACUUGAGUGCUGUAGGGGAGACUGGAAUUCCUGGUGUAGCGGUGGAAUGCGCAGAUAUCAGGAGGAACACCGAUGGCGAANGCAGGUCUCUGGGCAGUAACUGACGCUGANGAGCGAAAGCAUGGGUAGCGAACAGGAUUAGAUACCCCGGUA
rnacentral:rRNA from 1 species